AUCGGGAGAAUCCGGCGGGCCAUUCAGCCCGACGGUGCCGAAGGAGCAACCGCCCCGGUAAACUCUCAGGCUCAAGGACCGUC
rnacentral:ncRNA from 1 species